rnacentral:rRNA from 1 species
GCUGGCGGCAGGCCUAACACAUGCAAGUCGAGCGCCGUAGCAAUACGGAGCGGCAGACGGGAGAGUAACACGUGGGAACGUGCCCUUCAGUUCGGAACAACCCAGGGAAACUUGGGCUAAUACCGGAUACGUCCGUAAGGAGAAAGAUUUAUCGCUGAAGGAUCGGCCCGCGUCUGAUUAGCUUGUUGGUGAGGUAACGGCUCACCAAGGCGACGAUCAGUAGCUGGUCUGAGAGGAUGAUCAGCCUCACUGGGACUGAGACACGGCCCAGACUCCUACGGGAGGCAGCAGUGGGGAAUAUUGGACAAUGGGCGCAAGCCUGAUCCAGCCAUGCCGCGUGGGUGAUGAAGGCCUUAGGGUUGUAAAGCCCUUUCGGCGGGGAAGAUAAUGACGGUACCCGCAGAAGAAGCCCCGGCUAACUUCGUGCCAGCAGCCGCGGUAAU